UACAGAGGGUGCGAGCGUUGUCCGGAAUUACUGGGCGUAAAGGGCGCGUAGGCGGCUUGGUAAGUCGGGGGUGAAAGUCAGCGGCUCAACCGCUGGACUGCCUUCGAGACUGCCUGGCUUGAGCAUGGUAGAGGCUGGCGGAAUUCCCGGUGUAGCGGUGGAAUGCGUAGAGAUCGGGAAGAACAUCGGUGGCGAAGGCGGCCAGCUGGGCCAUUGCUGACGCUGAUGCGCGACAGCGCGGGGAGCAAACAGG
rnacentral:rRNA from 1 species